GUGUGUGUGUGUGUGUGUGUGUGUGUGUGUGUGUGUGUUCCUAAAACAUGUUGACAAUGCAUCAAUAUAGGAUAAGAGUUAAGAGCUUGUCACAAGGUCACCCACAGGAAGCACAAGACCCAGGGUUUCCAAAAAGAUGAAACCAAGGCCUGGGGAGUUACAGGUUUCUCCCAACUGUGUGUUGUGAACACAAAUGUAUUUCCUGUGUUUCAGGACAUUGUCAAGACUCCAAGAGACUUAGCCAGAGCAGGAUGGAAAGGCAGAAGCAAAGUCAGUGAGAAACGAUUAUUUCAUCCAUCUCUAGUCCAUGGACUAAGACGGGCUACCAUCUCCCUGCUCCUGAGCGAGAGCGGGAGGCUAGUUAGAGGCAGAGGCAGGUAGCCUGAAAGGUGAGCAUGAGUAAUUAGGCCACAAAAUGUAACAAGACACCUGUCCCUUUCAUUUGACGUCAUUCAUCAUCAAAGCCCAAGGAUGUUUGGAAUGCCUUUGGCCUUCUAUGUAAAAUUUAGAAGAAUGAGAAUAGUCUUUAUGCUUUUAAGUUACCUUUUGGAUUCUCACGGCCAUACUUUAAAGGUACUUUUAAGGUAGUUUCAUGAUAUAAAGCAUGAAUGGCUGGAAUACCGCCAUAUCUGAAAGUUAAUUGACCAAGCCUUUCAUAAGAUGUAUAAAGCAAUCCUUUUAAAGGAUGUCUACCAUUGCUUCGCCUGAAAACAAACUGGACUGCAUAGCACUAGAGGCUAACCAGAGCCGAGGGGUAGGACGCCCAGAAGUCUCCUCAGAGCCUGAUUCCUUUCCUUCCCUCAUCCUCGUCUUCUACCCUUGACACUGUGGAGGUUUCAUUUUGUUUUGUUUUUGACAAAAGAGAUAAAACUUAUGUAGCGAUCCCAGUUGCACCCCAGCCAGUCGUGUGAGUCAUCUGUAGUCAGCGUUCCUCCUUGUGGCCUAACUAGGAGGAGGAGGAGGAGGAGGAUACAAGUCUUCUCACUCCCUCCUACCCACUGCUCUUUCCACUAACACACAACCUCCCAGCCUAAGCAAGAGUUUCCAUCACACACCCAGGGGGGACCACAAGAGCUCUGCUCAAUGCUCCCCUAUUCUGCCUCCUCCUCAGUGCAUUUACCCAGCAUGUGGGCAAUAGUUUGAUUGUCUGUGUUUUUCCAAAAUUGACACACACACAAAAAAAAGUCCUCCCAAUCUGUCUGCAGUGGGGAAACAUGAGAUCCUGCUUCACCUCCUAGCUUUAUCAGCUGAUGAGUAGUUAGUUUCUACCGCUUGAUAAUUAGAGACAAUGAAAAAUAAAAAGCCAACAAUACAGCAACUUGCAAUGCCGUCUCACCUCAAACUUGGCAAUACUCAUGAAUGCAUCCUUUUUCGCCUUGCUGUUGCUGAAGAAGGUAGUAAUCAGGUGUGAUUCAAUGACGCUUAUGUUGUUGCUGAUGGCCUGAUUGUCUUUCAAGACUUCAAAGAGUCUGAGGUAGAAAGAGAUAAUCUGGCUCUGCAGGAUUUUCAUGUCACCAUCCUUGGGAAAUAACACAAAGGGAGGAUUUUAAGAAAUGACCCAUUAGAAACAACAGGGAAACUGGGAGAGGAGAAAUAUUCAACUCACCUUUUGCCAGUUCCUCCAGAUAUCCAAGAAGAGACUCUUUUCUUCCACAUCUAUGCCACUUGAGUUCUGAGGAAAAGAGAAAAAAAAUUGAUUUGUAAUUAUUUCACCAAUUGCCCUGAAAAUAUCUAUCAAGUUUUGUUGAAUUCAGUGCUGAUAAUGGUCACAGGUUUCCUUCUGGGCCCUUCCACUUACUUCUAACAACAAGUAUCCCCUAAAAGACUGCAUGUAGCCAAACACUGUUACUGUUACAUUCUUUUAGCUGCAGGAUGUACUGGCCCAGUCUUGAAACUGCAAGGCCACAAAUAAACUCAACAAAGCUGACGAGGUUUCAAGUACCCUCAAGUAACCAUAGUGAGCUAAAAAGAAACUUACUCUCAAAUUAAGAAAGGGAGAGAGAAAAUCAUUAGAAUCAUCCCACUGUGCACACUGCCCCCUUAUGGUCCAGGCCUCUGAAACAUCAGUCUGUGCUGUAAUAGGGCUUCAUUGCUACUUUAAAAAAUAGCUCCAAACACAUACGGGAGGCAGCUUGAUUUACACUGUGAGGAGAGGAUUGACCGUAGAUGCUUGAACAUUAUGCUAAUAGCUAUAUGUAUACUAGUAUAUACAUUUGGGACAAAUUAUAAAAUUCUAAGGAUAUAAAAUUUGCUUCUGUUAACCAUUAAUUUAAAAAAAAAAUCACAAAAGAGAAAAUCCUGAAAACUCUGAGAAAUAUAGAGUCUCAUUAAACCUCACCAAGCGGCUGGCUUUGAUUCGAUUGUAGUAGAAUUUCAAAAUUACUCCUCAGGGUAAAACAACUUCGGGGGAGGGGGGCAUUUCUUAAACAGAAACAUUAAGAACUUUGCCUCCCAUUACUUUAAGUGAUAAGCUGUUUCCCUGCGUAGUUUUGGUGGUAAUAUCCAUCUCUCACUAUCACUUUCAAGACGUCUGAAGGAAUAAGAACCAUUGAGGUAAGGAUAUUUUUUAUCACAACUAAAUGAUAAGAAAUCACAAAAUCAUCAGCAUCUUUGUACCUUGGACCUAUACUAUGCCUAUCUUUGGGAAGAUUGGUAAUUGCCCUCUAACUCCGUAGUAAGUUGGACAGAGGGUUAAAUCGAUAUUGAGAUCAUU
rnacentral:lncRNA from 1 species